UCCUGAUUUCAUCUUCACUUAAUUCUUUUUGAUUGACUACUACACUGGAGUGUUUUUUUAUUCAUCUGAACAAGAUAUUACAAGUUCCUUUAAAUAGAUGACAUUUGAAAAGCAUAAAUUGGCUUCUCUGCCCACCCUCACCCUUCAACUGUCAGCGUAUCCUCAUUCUUCUUGGAUGCAGGACAAGAGUUCGGGCCUGCUGAAGGUGAUAAUGAGCGCCAAAAUUUUCACAAGUAAGAACAGAAGUCAUCACAACCUUUGUUCUCUGUAGAUUCGCCAAUCUGUACUCCAUUGGGAUCAUGUUAGAAGACCUCGGUGAAUACAUGACCAAACUCCCUACUUCUCUUUUCUCCUUUUAAACCUCUGUAGGAAUACAAACAAUUUUAGAAAUGAGAAUAUUUAGUUAUGGAAAAAGUGAAGACCUUGGUGGGAAGUUUGUUUCUAUAGAAUGAAAAGCAUGAAUUCUAAAUUUAUAAAAAUUAGUAGGAACCGGAGCUGGACGCAGUGGCUCACGCCUGUAAUCCCAGCACUUU